rfam:Alligator mississippiensis ScZkoYb_176, whole genome shotgun sequence.
GUAGUUGUGGCCGAGUGGUAAAGGCGGUGGACUUGAAAUCCAUUGGGGUUUCCCUGCGCAGGUUCAAAUCCUGUCAACUACG